rnacentral:misc_RNA from 1 species
GUGAAUCAUCGAAUCUUUGAACGCAAAUUGCGCUUGCUGGCAUUCUGGGAAGCAUGCCUGUUUGAGGGUCAGUACUAACAAAAAACCGGAUUGGUUGCAAUUUGUGACGUUUCCGGCGGCUGGGCUAUCUUAACUUUUUUGGUUUCGGGGCUUAAAAUUGACCUUUUUUGCGUAUUUUUAGCGGUACUUAAAUUUUUUUUUCUUCGUCUAUUCUUAAUGCCAAAAUCUUAUUAGAUGUGAUCACAUGGUGGGGUUUCGGGUG